UGGUAGCUGGUCGUGCUGGUCUGGCUGGUCUAUGUGUUCAGUGACGUGUGGAGGGGGACACUAUACGAGGACGCGCACCUGCAACAACCCCCCACCAGCCCAUGGAGGAGAUAUAUGUCUGGGACUACACACUGAAGAGGCUCUCUGUAACAUACAAUCAUGUCCAGAGAGUUGGUCUAACUGGUCCUAUGGUGCCAGUGUGACAGUUUGGCUCCCAGCUGCGUGUUCGACACUGUAAUGUCCUGUUCCCACUGGAAACCAAUGUUCAGGAAAUCACACUGAGACCAGGGCCUGCCCACCUGACUCCACUUAUACCGGAAGUCUCCAUCGCUCGUUCCAGUCAGGAGGAGAGAAGAUGCGGAGAUUUCAACGUGUUCCAUAUGAUCGCUGUAGGCCUGAGUAGUUCUAUCCUGGGGUGUUUGGUCACCUUACUGGUGUACACCUACUGCCAGCGCUACCAGCAGCAGUCUCACGAUGCUACAGUCAUCCACCCCAUCUCAGCAUCACCACUCAACACCUCCAUCACCAACCACAUCAACAAACUGGACAAAUACGACUCGGUGGAUGCCAUUAAGGCUUUCAAUAAGAACAACCUGAUUCUGGAGGAAAGAAAUAAGUACUUCAACCCCCAGCUAGCCGGGAAGACUUACACCAAUUCAUACUUCACUGACCUCAACACUUACGAUGACUAUUAACCCUUUGUUGGGCUACAGCACCGGGGAUACACACCCUUGUGCAGACAACAAACCUACACCACUCGUUAUGACAAUGUCCUAUAUUUUUCCACUUCGUAAUGAAAUCUAUGACAUUUUAUGUGGGACCCUUCCUCUCUGGGACCCAUUGGCAGCUGCCAUCCAAUCAAAUUACAGCCACACAGCGAUGUCAUCGAAGGGACAGGCCCACUUCCCCUCAUGUGCUCGGCUGGGGUUCACCCGUGAAGGUUCUAGUAUGGAAAUAAAAAAUCAACAACAACAACAAGAUCUUGACUUGAUUCCCACGAACAUGGAAACAACUGGAAUUUCGAUUUUCAUUGGAGGAAGGGAGAGAAGAAAAAGGAAACUGGAAGAGCUUUCUGAAUGGGAAGGACCCUGCUGUGAUUUCCUGUCUCUGGUUCCAGAACUGUGUCGGGUUCCGGGGAACAAAACAACCCAACUGCUUUGCAUGAUUUUAUCUGUCACUCUGUUCAGUUUUGCAUGGUUGGUAGCGGUUCAGGGCUUGAGGCCUUGCAGGCAGGCAGGCAGGCAGGCGGGCCAAUCACUGUCCGCUGUGCUAGUGCCCUACAGAGGACCCCAAAGGGGUGGCGUUAGUUAUGCCUGAUGAAUUUGAUCCAACUAAAAUGCUCAACGGUAGAUAGUCAAGUGCUUAGCGUACCCAGAGUAGCUGUCACUCAAUAGCUACCCCAGGUUGUUAUGGAUUUAAACCAAUUACAACUCUGCAUUAUUGUAGACUUUUGUUAAACCGAUCUUGUUCUAUAGCGUCUACCGUUGAGUAACUAAAAUACUAGUCCUUUUGUUUACAGAGGGGGCUGGUUAUUCAAAUAAAGACAGCUAUCUAUCAGGAUGUAGAUAUUUUAGAGAUGUGUCCAGGUUUCUUUCUCUUACGGGGCUGGCGUUGGUGUAGCAGUUAGCGGUGGUUGAGAUAUCAGUGUAUAAUCUUUCUUGCUUUUUGUUGAUGUUAUUGUACAGUAAGCUCAUUUGGAAGCAUAUUUCUCUGUGUCUUUAUAGGUCCAUUUACUCAAUGUCAGUGUUAAAAUCAAUACUUUUCUUUGUUACGGCAAAGAAAUGAAAUUUGAGAAGAAGAAAUUACCCGGGAAUAUAUAAGUAGAUCAUGUUCAAACUGUCAUCAUACUUGUUCAUAUUUUUUUACAUUUGUAGUACUUUUCAAGGUGAAACAUCUCUCUUUCGUUUAAAGAUGUACAUCCAUAUUCAGUAUGUCGAUUUCUUCAAUGUUUUCAAUUGUAACUAUU